CAGCCGCCACGGGAAUACGUAGGUGGCAAGCGUUGUCCGGAAUUAUUGGGCGUAAAGCGCGCGCAGCCGGUUUCUUAAGUCUGAUGUGAAAGCCCCCGGCUCAACCGGGGAGGGUCAUUGGAAACUGGGAAACUUGAGUGCAGAAGAGGAGAGUGGAAUUCCACGUGUAGCGGUGAAAUGCGUAGAGAUGUGGAGGAACACCAGUGGCGAAGGCGACUCUCUGGUCUGUAACUGACGCUGAGGAGCGAAAGCGUGGGGAGCGAACAGGAUUAGAUACCCGGGUAGUCCCUGUCUCUUAUAC
rnacentral:rRNA from 1 species